AGAACGAACGUUGGCGGCGUGGAUUAGGCAUGCAAGUCGAACGAAUCCCGGUAGCAAUAUCGGGGGAAGUGGCGAAAGGGGCAGUAAGGCGUGGCUAACCUACCCUGGGGACGGGGAUAGCCUCCCUAACGGGAGGGUAAUACCUGGCGAUGUGGCGAGGGGGCAUCUCCUUGCCAUGAAACGAGUUUCGCCUCGGGAGGGGUCACGUGCUAUUACCUUGUUGGUGGGGUAACGGCCUACCAAGGCGACGACGGGUAGCC
rnacentral:rRNA from 1 species